GGGGGCAGGCAAAGUCCUCCCACCCUGGGGGCGGGGGCGGGCAAAGUCCUCCCACCCUGGGGGCGGGGGCGGCGGCAGGAAGCAAACGAGGCAAGUUGGAAGCCGCAAGGUGCAGUGGGAGAGACCAGUUCCGGAACCAGACAGACCUAAGUUCCAGUUCAAGCGUCGUCUUCACGUGCUCAGCAAACACCUGUGGAUGGGGUACACCAGGGGCGGGGCUGGCCGUAGAGACAGCAGGACCAAGGAGGGGAACAGUCAUCUGGCAGCAUUUCUGAGGAGCCCAGCACCUCGUGAGUAGCUGACCCAAGUCACCAUGUGAGUCCCUUGACUCAGAUCACCUGCAGAUGAGACACAAGGGCUCAGAGGACAGACAUGCCCGAGGUCACCUGGAAAGUCAGAAUUUCAGGAGGCCAGCAGCCUCCAGUGAGGGCUGAGGUUUGCAGCAUGCUGUGACCAGGUCUUUCGGGAGGAAAAAAACGGGAGCUGAUGGGCAGCAAAGGAGUGUGGCUCGGAGAGGAAUACACAGUCCCAAGGUUGGAGUCACAAUAGCCAGAAGGCGGAAGCGAGCCAAGCGUGCGCUGACAGAUGAACCAGUACGCGAAUGUGAUCCCUCCACGGGCCGGAACGUUACUCCUCCUGCACAGGGAAGGAGCCUCUGCUUCCUGCUGCACCGUGGAUGUGCGUGGAAGACACUGUGCUGAGUGACAGUACCCAGUCGGGAGGGACAGGUGCUGCGGGACGCCACACACAAACGCAAGGCACGUUCACAGGGGCGCCAGGGGCUGGGGGAGGGAGGGGUCGGUGUUUCAUGGGGACGGAGCGUCAGUGUGGAGACAGCAACAAGAAGCAGAGAUGACGGUGGGGACAGCUGCCCAAGGGGAACGUGCCUGAGGCCACUUAACUGGACACUUACAGGUAGUUAGGGUGGUAAACUCUGUUACACGUAUUUUACUGCAGUUGUGGGGGGGAACUCUAGAGUUGGGUACAGGGUCUCCUUUCAGGGUGAUGAAAAUGUUCUGGAACUACACAGAGGUGCUACUUGCUCACCAUCGUGAAUGUACUAAAUGUUACUGAAUUGCUCACUUUAAGAGUGAAUUUUGGGCGCCUGGGUGGCUUAGUCGUUAAGCGUCUACCUUUGCCUCAGGACAUGAUCUCAGGGUCCUGGGAUGGAUCCCCUCAGCAGGCUCCCUGCUCGGCAGAAAGCCUGCUUCCCUCACCCUCUCCCCCUGCUCACAUUCCUGUUCUCAUUCUCUCUCUCUCUGCCAAAUAAAUAAAUAAAAUCUUAAAAAA